CUGUGAUGGGUGGAGCCAUAUGCCUCAGCAAAAGCUCACGGAGAUAUUUAAAUUCACACCUGUGGGAGCUGCGCUACCCUGCAGGAUGACCACUAAAAUUUUCAACUGGAGGUACAGAUCCCUUUCAACGGGAUUCCCACAUUAAGAAGUUGGUGCAGCAGAAAUGAACAAAAAGUAAUAUUCAAAGGCCUGAUUCAGCACUCCAUAUUCCUUACAGACUAAACUCUUCCACUACCAGCAUUGCUGUUCCACCCAGAAAAGGAACUUGCCACCAGCAACAUCCCUGGCUUCGUGCAUCCCACCCUAGGUCUGCGGUAGUGUUAGUGGAAAGGUUGAUCUACCAACUCUGUCUUUUUUAGCCCUUUUGGAUUGGGACACCCACUGAAGCUGGUGGGCCUACCAGCGGGUUCUGAAUGUGCGUCUCCCAGUAGAAUGCCUUGGCGACUAUGCUAUAGGCUAUCUAGGGGUUCGAGAACAUCUAUCUCAGUUUUGCCUCUUAAAGCUGUUCUGAUUUGUAAGAAAUGUUAAAAAUGCAUUAGGCUAGAGAGAGAGCAGCAGGGAGCUUGAUUCUGUGACCUAGUGGUCAGGGCCUGGAGAGGGGAGAGCUUGGUUCCAGUCCCUGCUCCAAUGAGGAUGCGUCUA